AUGAAGCUGGCAUACCUUUUCCUCGGCCCCAUGGCCCUCUUCCUCCUAGCUGGCUGCAGCUGUGUUCUCAGCACGUCCAGUGGGAACCUGCUCACCUUUGUGGGCUGUGCCGUGAGGGAGUUUACUUUCCUGGCCAAAAAGCCUGGCUGCAGGGGCCUUCGGAUCACUACAGAUGCCUGCUGGGGCCGCUGUGAGACCUGGGAGGUGAGUCUCAAGACAAGCCCAGGUAGCAAAGCCUUCAGGGUCGGCCGCCUGGGUUGAAUCCUAAGUGUUCACUUUUUAAAUAAAAUGAGGUAGAGUGGGGCAUUUCUGUGGAAUUUUUUAAAAAUAACAAUUAUUUGGCUUUCUCCAAAAGUAAUCUGAAAGAAGCAUGAUCUUGCCCCUCUAACAAAGCACUGAUAAAAUUAAUAUUUUUAUUUUACACAGUGUCGUAUAUUUGGGAAUCAUCUUUAGGGGGUUACGAUGUGCUAUUAUUCUAUCCAUUUUACAGAUGGCAGGAGAAAUUCAAGGAGUAAAUGACUGCAAAGUCAUACAUAGACAGUCAGUAGAAAGUUAGGGAUAAACCCUUGGUUCAAGCAUGGAACCCACACUUCUCUAUAUUCCUCUACCUGUGAUACGGCCAGCCAGUCACCAAGAGGCAGGCCUUGAACUAUCUAGCAGGUGAGGGCAGGUCCUCGAUUCUUCCCUCAGUGGCUCAUGCACAGCCCUUCCCUGCCCCAACUCUUAGGGAUUGCAAUUCUUAGGGACCUCAGGGAUUAUCAUCCACAGAUCCACGAAGUCCCUUUGUAUUCAAUGAUAUCCAGCCUUUUAAGAGGCAGUGCAUUAAAAAUGAGGAUACAAAUCUUGGACAAAGUUCAAACCCUAUUGGGCUGAGAUGGAGAUGUUUGCCAGGUGAGCAGAAAAGAGGCCCAUUUAGCACCCUAUCCCAUCAUACCCCAGAGUGUUGACUCUUUCUACUGAGGCCUGGCUUGGUUACUAAGCACAAGCUCUGAUUCAAAAACCAUUACCCUGGCUCAGAAACCUUAGAUGACUCCCCACUACUGCAAAUUCCAAAACCAACUUCCGAGGUCUUCAGCAAUAUGAAGUCUGCCCGUUUUCCUGGGGUCUGUACAUAUCCCAAGCCCUGGUCUUGUCAGACUGAGUUUGAAAAGGUUUAUUAAGCACCCCUCAUGAAAUCUCACUUUUGGUCUUUUUCUCAUGUCCCUUCUCAUGUCUAUCUGUCAUUAUUAAAUAAAUUCUUUGAUGUUUGCGUCCAGUGCCAACUCCUUCCCCAGAGGUUUUCUGAGUUGCUGGCCACCCCUGACUUGUGUUCACCUGUUGCCUUAUUUUUUCCCCCACCACACAAUGCUAGGUUCUAAGUUUUUUGAGAGUGGAGUUUCAUUCCUUUGCCUUUGCCAGCCCUUGUUGCAGUGUCAUGUAUGAAAAAGACCUUCAAUAAAUAUUUGUUGAAUUAUGUGGGAUUGACCUCUAUCUGGAGUCAUACACUUGUUUUUUUUUAAGUUUGUUUAUUUUCUUAAGUAAUCUCUAUACCAGACAUGGGGCUUGAACUCAUGACCCUGAGAUCAAGAGUUGGAUACUCUUCCAACUGAGCCAGCCGGGUGCCCCUGGAGUCAUACAUCUUUUAACCUAAUUGACGCCAACUUAGAAGUCUGUGAACACCAUGAGAGGACACUGCCAUGGGAAAAAACAGCCAUCCAUUCAGGGACUCAGAGAGCAACCUGCUGUCACUUAGAUAAAAUUAUGGCCCCAUAAAUGGAUUGGGUCCUGGUGACAAAAUUUCCAAAUUACAUAAAACGACUCCACCUAAUUAGCUUUAUUUUUGCAUCAUCCAGGGCCUUGAGACUUAAGAGCCAAAUAAAAAUUCAAUUACUAAGGAUACUGCGGCUAUGACUUGACAUCAAACUUACUUGGGCGGGGGUGGGGGUUGGGGGCGGUUGGCAUCUUCUCAUACUCAGGGCUCGGCCUGGCCAUGCCUAUCCCCACUCGAAGUUCAUCUCUCUGGUCUUUGGAACUCUCUCUGGGCCUACAUCUCAAACCCUGUUUCCUUCAACUCAGCUCGUUUUCGCUUCUCUUUAAAAAUUGAUGAAUGUCUUUACUUGGAUCCUCGUCACCCGCAGGAGGUCAGGGACUGUGUCCUCACUGGAGAAAUAGAAGCACCAAGACCUUUAGACAACAAGAUUCUCCUUAAUGCUAGCCAGCUUUUAUUUAUGCCCUUACUGUACUAGGUACCGGGAGGUUAUGUACAGAAAAUUUAAGAUAAGAGGCCAAGAUUUAUUUUCCCAGUAAUCUAAAAGUUUCUGAGAUAUAAAGUGCUUAUUUUUGGUAACUUAACUGGAGAGCAUGUCUGAAAAUGAAGAUGUCUGUGACAGCAAAGCAGCUGGAUUUACUUCAAAGGUGGAACUAUUGCUGAAAAGAGCCUUUGUUCAUGGCCUGGGGUUAGGGUUGCCCGAUUUAUCAAAAACCAAGUCAAACCAAACCAUGAUUUCACUUAAAUGUGAGUGUCACAUAAACAGCAAUUGUUUUUUGGGACCCAGCUGGUCCCAAAUCGAGGCCUGGCAGGGAGGGAGGGGAGGGAAAAAAAUACCCCAGUCUCACUGUGCUCCGUGCCCCGAUCUUCUCCUGAAGUACAUGGGAAGGAAGGGAGCACGGGAGCUCGUUGAUUCGGUCCAUAAAUAUUCAACCUGGGUAGGAAGUUGAAUAAGAGCAGAGAGUGGGUCUGAGGGGGCUGAUGGGUGAAGUCCAGCAUAGCUAUCUUCUGGGGUGCUUACCCAAGAUGCCACAGAUAGUGUUGUUGGCUGUGAGAGUCAUAAGGCAUCUGUAGGCAUCUUAUUACCCAUGCAAUGAGUAGAGCCAUACUUUAUACUAAAAAAAAUUUUGUUGUUUAUUUGACAUUCAGAUAUUACUGAGUGUCUUAGAUUUUACCUGGCACCCCUGCUUGAGAUUCCAAAUUACUGAGGGUAAGAGGAUGUGCAGCAAACUGAGGAGGGUAAAAUGCUACCUGAAAAGUAGGAGGAGGCAGUGAUAUCGGAUGGAAGUCCUUGUCAAAGGCAGAGCCAUUAUUCCCGUGACAUUCACGUAAGAAGUUCAUCCUGGGCCUCCGUUUAACAUAUUUUAUUCACCCAAUACAGGUGAAGUCGUUGGUUUUUGAAAGCUUGUAAGUUGUUAUUUUUGUUGUUACUUCCUUAUCCUUGCAACUACCCUGAUAAGAACAAUAGAUUACAUUUACUGAGCACUUACUUGGUGCCGGGCCUUGUGCGGUGUGCAUGUCAUCCUACCGUAUCUCCACAACACGGCUGUGAAGUAGAGAUUUUGUUUCACAGAGGAGGAAUCUGAGGCUUCCAGAAGUCAAGUGGACUUUCCAAGGUCUUCAGCAAGUGGAAGAACAGGGGCUCAAGGUCAAGGGUCUGACCACAGUAUUUGAGAUUUUUUUUUUUUUACACAGUCUUUUGGUUAUUUAUUUAUUUAUUUAUCAACACUCAUGGCCAUGAAUUCAUAGGGAAUGGGCCCCAGCAGCUCAGGCUCCUUCCCACUGGUUCUCACAAGGCGUGCUACUCUGGGCAGAGCAGGCUGGUGCUUCAGCUGGACCCAAGGACCUUUCUCUUUGGCUUCCUUCUGUUUCUGAUCAUUUUCCUUCACGCACUUCAGGAAGCUGUCUCAGCAAUUUGAGCGCUUAACAUGCUCAAUACGUACAUUAAUUUUCUUGGCGAGAAUAUUGCCCUUAACUUGUUUGCCUACAACGAUGCCAAGAGUUUGCUGGGUGACACCGUAGACUCUGCCAGUCUUGGCAUAGUUAACAUUUGUGAGGCACUCUGUUUUGAAUAGCGCCCAUUCCCUUGAUGUCCACAAUAUCACCUUUCUUGUAGAUUUGCAUGUAGGUGGCCAAAGCAACUCCAUGUCUCCUAAAAGGCCUAGAGAACACAUAGCGGGUGCCUCUUCUCUUCCCCUUUGUGGUGGUCAUUUUGGUGAAUUAUUGGAAGACGGGGGUUCCGCUACAGGGUUUGGGAUUUUAACUACUACUUUGUGCCGACUUCCUGAUCUAUAUGCUCUUCACGAAAUUAUCUUUGAAUUCAAGAUUUACGAGAGUUGAAGGCAGGAAGUGAAUCCUUUGAUUAUCAGAACAGCGCACAGGGCAUUCCAGAAGCUGCCUUGCUGUUUUCUGUCAUUAAAUCAACAAAUAGUUAUCGAGAACCUCCUGGGUGACAGGUACCACUCUGAGUAGUAGAGGCGUAGCAGUGAGUAAAAUGGGCAAAAAUCCCUGUCCUGACGGAAUUUGCUUUUUAGAGUGGGAAAAAUACAACACAAAUUAAUAAAAUAAUGUAAUAUGUCCCGUGGUACUGACAGGUGCUAUGCAGAAGAAAAAGCAGGAAGAUGGUGGGAAGUGGCAGGGUGUGGAGGUGGGGUGUUGCGAUUAUAAAUAAGAUGGUCAGGAAAGGAUGUUCUGGGCACUGGGAAUAGCAGGCCAAAGACUCUGGGGUGCUGCUGUUCUUGGUGGAUCUGGGGGACAAUCAGGAGACACUGUGGCUGGAGCAGAGUGAGGAAGCCAGCAAGACAGGUGGCCGGAGACAUAGCAGGGGGUGCAGGGGUGGGGAAGAUGAUGGAGGGUCUUGAGGCUGAACGUCUUUGACUUUUACUCUGAGUGAGAUGGGAAAUCACUGGGGCUUUGAGCAGAGAAGAGAGAGGAAUCUGACUUACAUUUUGAAAGAGUCACUUGGGGCUGCUGUGCUGUAAAUUGACCGUAGGGGGUGAUGGUAGAAGAGAGACCAGUUAGAAGACUUUUGCAAUGAUCAGGAUUAUUCAUUUGCUAAAUAUUUAUUGAGCACUUGCUAUGUGCCAUGGGCUCUUUGGGAGCUCAGGAUAUGGUACAGAAAGCAGGUUGCUGCUCUCAGGAAUUUGCUUUCUGUUGGGAAGAGACAGAUUCACAAGUAAACAAAUAACUAACGAGUUAGUUUCUGAAAGUGAUUAAUGGUACGGAGGACAAGAAACAAGAUGGCAUGUUCUAAUGGGUUCCCUGUUUUCUACCCGUGAGGAUAGAAGCCCAUUCUGGAACCCCCCUACAUUGAAGCCCAUCAUCGAGUCUGUACCUACAACGAGACCAGACAGGUGACGGUCAAACUGCCCAAUUGCGCCCCUGGAGUGGACCCCUUCUACACCUACCCCGUGGCUGUCCGCUGCGACUGCGGGGCCUGUUCCACUGCCACCACGGAGUGCGAGACCAUCUGA
rnacentral:lncRNA from 1 species